AUUGAACGCUGGCGGCAGGCCUAACACAUGCAAGUCGAGCGAGAGGCGGACGGGUGUGUAAUGUAUGGGGACUGCCCGAUAGCGGGGGAUAACUACUGGAAACGGUGGCUAAUAUCGCACACUGUCGGAUAACCCCCAUGGGAUUAACUAGUGGGUAUGGUAAUGGCUUACCUAGGCGACGAUCCCUAGCUGGUCUGAGAGGAUGUUCAGCCACACUGGAACUGAGACACGGCCCAGACUCCUACGGAGGCAGCAGUGGGGAAUAUUGCACAAUGGGCGCAAGCCUGAUGCAGCCAUGCCGCGUGUAUGAAGAAGGCCUUAGGGUUGUAAAGUACUUUCAGUCGGGAGGCGUUACCGACAGAAGAAGCACCGGCUAACUCCGUGCCAGCAGCCGCGGUAAUAC
rnacentral:rRNA from 1 species